CUUCACAAGUCACCCUGUGAUGGUGUCCAUACUGCGAGGCAUCCCUCACCCGAGAAAGCAACUUUUUCUGCACGGGAUGACUCUGGUUACAUUUGCUUGUUCCCGCCAUGAAUAAAAGGAAGAGAGGUCAGCUGAAGAGGCAAUUAAUUCAACACAACUGAGUAGGAACAGCCAUGGAAUGUUCUAAUGCUUGAAAUACAGACCAUAGCAUGCACCCAUGUGCAUGCCAUGUAUUUCUUGUUGAGAGUUUCUUGGGAACCAGUGAAUUUGGCUGGACCAUCAGAAAAUUUUGUGACUUCUCCCUCUGCCUGUUGUCCAAAUGGUGGAGAGAUGGACCCUUGUGGCCAGAGAACACACUGGUGAUUUCUCAGACUUCCCUUAGCAUUUUCAGAGGAUCUCAGGGUGCUCUUUCCCUUUCUCCUCCUUAUUGGCUUCUUUGUUCCCAUGGAAUCACUGAUGAAGCCCAGCCCUCCUGGAGUUAAGUGUGGUCAAAUGGUAAAAAAUCCCAGGUGUUUGUUGCUAUUCAUCUUUGUCUUGGACAUUUUGGAUGACUCUCCCCUCCUGGGACUAGAGACAAACUGAACUGACUUUCCAGGGCCUGUGAUCAGCAGGAAAGCUCCCACCAGAAGCCA
rnacentral:lncRNA from 1 species